AGGCUAUUUCAUAUAGAAAUCUUCAAAAGAUCUUUACUCAGAAAAGUUAUUUCAUAUCCUUUUUUGGAGUCGAUAUCUCACAUCACCUCGUUGUAGGUUUUGAGAUCAUCUCUAUGUUCCCUAUAUCCCAUAAGAAAUGAUUUUCUCUACAUCCUCUAUUAAGUAUACUCAAGUACCUUCCAAGAGGAUUGGAGAUCCUACUAUGUGUAUG
rnacentral:lncRNA from 1 species